CUACCUGUUGUUUUGAUUGCACACCUUGUCCUGAGAAUGAGAUUUCCAAUCAGACAGGGCCAUCUGGUGUUCCCAUGGAGAUCGCUUCCAUUACAUGGAUGUUUCAGUUCACCCAGUCUUGACUUGGAGCUGUCUACUGCUAUUAUGCCCAGGUCUCCCUUCCUUUCAGUCAGGUCAAUACCGACCACAACACUAGAGGGAGCCUGAGGCCGAAGAUGGAUUUGAACAUUCCUGCAAGAAUGCAGUGAUGCAACUGAGAAUCACCUUGAACACUUACUGAAACAGGGAGACUGCUGGGAUGCACUCUGUGAUGCCUUAUCUGGUAGACCUGGGGGUGGCUGUGGCAUUCAGCUCCACAUGUGGUGACUAGGAGCCUCUCCCAAUUCUGCUUCCUUGUGUUUUGGAUUUCCCUUAUUCCUCAUUAAAUAAAAAUGCAAGUUUAUUGAUCUGAAAUUCCCUUCUCUUUCUUCUCAAAUAAAGCAUGAGAGUUUCUACAA